CUCCACAGGUAGGACUCGAACCUACGACCGAUCGGUUAACAGCCGAUAGCUCUACCACUGAGCUACUGUGGA
rnacentral:tRNA from 1 species